rnacentral:lncRNA from 1 species
ACAAAUGUAAAGAAUGUGGAAAAGCUUUUAGUCAAAAAACAGGCCUUAUUCGCCACAGGAGAACUCACACUGGAGAGAAGCCCUACAAAUGUAAGGAAUGUGGAAAAGCCUUUAGUCAAAAAACAGGCCUUAUUUACCACAAUAGAACUCACACUGGAGAGAAGCUCUACAAAUGUAAAGAGUGUGGCAAAGCUUUUAAUAAAAAAUCUGGCCUUAUUUGCCACAACAGAUCUCACACUAGAGAGAUGGCCUACAAAUGUAAAGAAUGUGGCAAAGCCUUUAGUCAAAAAACAAGCCUUAUUUGUCACAACGGAACUCACAUUGAAGAGAAGGCCUACAAGUGCAAAGUAUGUGACAAAGUUUUUACUCAAAUAUCAAAUCUUAUUUGUCACAGCAGAACUCACACAGGAGAGAAGCCCUACAAAUGUAAUGAAUGUGGCAAAGCUUUUACUCAAAAAAUUCACCUUGUUUACCACAGCAGAACUCACACUGGAGAGAAGCCCUACAAAUGUAAAGAAUGUGGAAAAGCUUUUAGUCAAAAAAUACACCUUAUUCGCCACAGCAGAACUCACACUGGAGAGAAGCCCUACAAAUGUAAAGAAUGUGGAAAAAGCUUUUAGCCAAAAAGCAGGCCUUAUUUGCCACAAUAGAAGUCACACUGGAGAGAAGCCCUACAAAUGUAAAAAGUGUGGCAAAGCUUUUAAUAAAAAAUCUGGCCUUAUUUGCCACAACGGAACUCACACUAGAGAGAAGGCCUACAAAUGUAAAGAAUGUGGCAAAGCCUUUAGUCAAAAAACAAGCCUUCCUUGCUACAGAAGAACUCACACUGGAGAGUAGCCCUCCAAAUGUAAAUAAUGUGGCUAAGCUUUUAAUCAAAAAUAAAACUUUAUUUACCACAACAGAAGAUGCUCUGGUGAGAAACCUUAAAAAUAUGAAGAAAGUGAUAAUGCUUUUAAAGAAAAAGCAAACCUUAUUAACCACAAAAUUUAUACAGAAAAGAACCCCUACAAAUGGAAACAAUGUAGCAAAGCUUUUAAUAAGAAAUCAAAACUUUUUCACCACUACUAGGCUAUUUAUUCUGCAAAGAAGACUACAAAUGUAAAGAAUGUAGAAACAUUUUUAAUUAUAUAUCACACAUUACUAGACAUUCAAGAAAACACACUGGAGAGAAGCUAUACAAAAAAGAACUUUGUACCAUUUCUUUAAGGAUGGGUCAACAUUUAAUCCUCUCCACAAUCAUCACAGCAGAGAGAAAUUUUUGAAAUGUGAAAAUUGACAAUGUGACAAUGCGUCCAUAAAUGAUUCACCAAUACUCAGCACCUGAGGAUAUAUACUGGUUAGAGAGAAUACAAA